AUGGCGGGGUGCAGGGGGUCUCUGUGCUGCUGCUGCAGGUGGUGCUGCUGCUGCGGUGAGCGUGAGACCCGCACCCCCGAGGAGCUGACCAUCCUUGGAGAAACACAGGAGGAGGAGGAUGAGAUUCUUCCCAGGAAAGACUAUGAGAGUUUGGAUUAUGAUCGCUGUAUCAAUGACCCUUACCUGGAAGUUUUGGAGACCAUGGAUAAUAAGAAAGGUCGAAGGUAUGAGGCGGUGAAGUGGAUGGUGGUGUUUGCCAUUGGAGUCUGCACUGGCCUGGUGGGUCUCUUUGUGGACUUUUUUGUGCGACUCUUCACCCAACUCAAGUUCGGAGUGGUACAGACAUCGGUGGAGGAGUGCAGCCAGAAAGGCUGCCUCGCUCUGUCUCUCCUUGAACUCCUGGGUUUUAACCUCACCUUUGUCUUCCUGGCAAGCCUCCUUGUUCUCAUUGAGCCGGUGGCAGCAGGUUCUGGGAUACCCGAGGUCAAAUGCUAUCUGAAUGGCGUGAAGGUGCCAGGAAUCGUCCGUCUCCGGACCCUGCUCUGCAAGGUCCUUGGAGUGCUGUUCAGUGUGGCUGGAGGGCUCUUCGUGGGGAAGGAAGGCCCCAUGAUCCACAGUGGUUCGGUGGUGGGAGCUGGCCUCCCUCAGUUUCAGAGCAUCUCCUUACGGAAGAUCCAGUUUAACUUCCCCUAUUUCCGAAGCGACAGAGACAAGAGAGACUUUGUAUCAGCAGGAGCGGCUGCUGGAGUUGCUGCAGCUUUCGGGGCGCCAAUCGGGGGUACCUUGUUCAGUCUAGAGGAGGGAUCGUCCUUCUGGAACCAAGGGCUCACGUGGAAAGUGCUCUUUUGUUCCAUGUCUGCCACCUUCACCCUCAACUUCUUCCGUUCUGGGAUUCAGUUUGGAAGCUGGGGUUCCUUCCAGCUCCCUGGAUUGCUGAACUUUGGCGAGUUUAAGAGUCUUAGAGAGCCUCCUUGUGUCUCUGGUAACCACCGUGGUGGUGUUUGUGGCCUCGAUGGUGUUAGGAGAAUGCCGACAGAUGUCCUCUUCGAGUCAAAUCGGUAA
rnacentral:sRNA from 1 species